GUUUGUCGCGUUGUUCGUGAAAUCUCACGGCUUAACUGUGAGCGUGCGGGCGAUACGGGCAGACUUGAGUACUGCAGGGGAGACUGGAAUUCCUGGUGUAGCGGUGGAAUGCGCAGAUAUCAGGAGGAACACCGGUGGCGAAGGCGGGUCUCUGGGCAGUAACUGACGCUGAGGAGCGAAAGCGUGGGGAGCGAACAGGAUUAGAUACCCUGGUAGUCCACGCCGUAAACGGUGGGUACUAGGUGUGGGUUUCCUUCCUUGGGAUCCGUGCCGUAGCUAACGCAUUAAGUACCCCGCCUGGGGAGUACGGCCGCAAGGCUAAAACUCAAAGAAAUUGACGGGGGCCCGCACAAGCGGCGGAGCAUGUGGAUUAAUUCGAUGCAACGCGAAGAACCUUACCUGGGUUUGACAUGCACAGGACGCCGGCAGAGAUGUCGGUUCCCUUGUGGCCUGUGUGCAGGUGGUGCAUGGCUGUCGUCAGCUCGUGUCGUGAGAUGUUGGGUUAAGUCCCGCAACGAGCGCAACCCUUGUCUCAUGUUGCCAGCGGGUAAUGCCGGGGACUCGUGAGAGACUGCCGGGGUCAACUCGGAGGAAGGUGGGGAUGACGUCAAGUCAUCAUGCCCCUUAUGUCCAGGGCUUCACACAUGCUACAAUGGCCGGUACAAAGGGCUGCGAUGCCGCGAGGUUAAGCGAAUCCUUUUAAAGCCGGUCUCAGUUCGGAUCGGGGUCUGCAACUCGACCCCGUGAAGUCGGAGUCGCUAGUAAUCGCA
rnacentral:rRNA from 1 species